rnacentral:rRNA from 1 species
UGCGUAGGCGGCGCGGUAAGUCGGGUGUGAAAUCUCGGGGCUUAACUCCGAAACUGCAUUCGAUACUGCCGUGCUUGAGGACUGGAGAGGAGACUGGAAUUUACGGUGUAGCAGUGAAAUGCGUAGAUAUCGUAAGGAAGACCAGUGGCGAAGGCGGGUCUCUGGACAGUUCCUGACGCUGAAGUACGAAGGCCAGGGGAGCAAACG